rnacentral:rRNA from 1 species
GCUCAGGACGAACGCUGGCGGCGUGCCUAAUACAUGCAAGUCGAGCGGACAGAUGGGAGCUUGCUCCCUGAUGUUAGCGGCGGACGGGUGAGUAACACGUGGGUAACCUGCCUGUAAGACUGGGAUAACUCCGGGAAACCGGGGCUAAUACCGGAUGGUUGUCUGAACCGCAUGGUUCAGACAUAAAAGGUGGCUUCGGCUACCACUUACAGAUGGACCCGCGGCGCAUUAGCUAGUUGGUGAGGUAACGGCUCACCAAGGCGACGAUGCGUAGCCGACCUGAGAGGGUGAUCGGCCACACUGGGACUGAGACACGGCCCAGACUCCUACGGGAGGCAGCAGUAGGGAAUCUUCCGCAAUGGACGAAAGUCUGACGGAGCAACGCCGCGUGAGUGAUGAAGGUUUUCGGAUCGUAAAGCUCUGUUGUUAGGGAAGAACAAGUGCCGUUCAAAUAGGGCGGCACCUUGACGGUACCUAACCAGAAAGCCACGGCUAACUACGUGCCAGCAGCCGCGGUAAUACGUAGGUGGCAAGCGUUGUCCGGAAUUAUUGGGCGUAAAGGGCUCGCAGGCGGUUUCUUAAGUCUGAUGUGAAAGCCCCCGGCUCAACCGGGGAGGGUCAUUGGAAACUGGGGAACUUGAGUGCAGAAGAGGAGAGUGGAAUUCCACGUGUAGCGGUGAAAUGCGUAGAGAUGUGGAGGAACACCAGUGGCGAAGGCGACUCUCUGGUCUGUAACUGACGCUGAGGAGCGAAA